GUGUUCGCUUCCGCAGCACACAUUCUAAAGUUGGUUCAAUACAGAGAAGGUUAGCAUGGCCCCCGCGCAGGGCUGACACGCAACUCAUGAAGAGAACUACUACUACUAC